rnacentral:rRNA from 1 species
UCGAGAAUUUUUCUCAAUGGGGGAAACCCUGAAGGAGCGACGCCGCGUGGGGGAUGAAGGACUUCGGUUCGUAAACCCCUGUCACUAGGGAACAAUUGUUGCAACCUAACACGUUGCAAUUUGAUAGUACCUGGAGAGGAAGGGACGGCUAACUCUGUGCCAGCAGCCGCGGUAAUACAGAGGUCCCAAGCGUUGUUCGGAUUUAUUGGGCGUAAAGGGUGCGUAGGCGGUGAUACAAGUCGGAUGUGAAAUCCCGGAGCCUAACUCCGGAACUGCAUUCGAAACUGUAUCGCUCGAGGUCUGGAGAGGUGACUGGAAUUCUCGGUGUAGCAGUGAAAUGCGUAGAUAUCGAGAGGAACACCAGAGGCGAAGGCGAGUCACUGGACAGAACCUGACGCUG